UGUGUUCUUAGAAGUUAAAUCCAUUCCAUCUCGUCUAACACAACGUUUGUCUUCCCUUCUCGCAGGCGCACCAUCCGUCCCCGGGAAGCUCGUAUAAAGGCGACACGUUCAAAGGAUACUUGAGGACCGGCACUAAGAGCGAGCUGCUAUGUAGGAUGUUAAAGGCGGCGUUCAGGAGAGGGCUGAUGUUCAACUUGGGAAAGGAAGGAAAGGUUGUCCUGGAUGGCAUUUCAUUGUAUGAAGGAUCAGUGUAUGACCUAGUGUUUAGAGCAGCGUCGUACAAUGGAUACCCAAAGAAAUUGAAAGCGGAGCUGUUAGCCAAAGGUAUCACAGAGGCGAAUAUAGAUCAGACGGAGAAGCUGUACGGGACCUUUACUGUCGACGAUCCACGCUUGCUCGACGUUGCGCUGAGUUCUUAAAUGGGAUGUAAGCGGACUUUGCAGACACAAUCUUAACAGAAGCAAAUGUAGAGCUUUAAUUUUUGUUUUGUUUGUUAUCCCAGGUAGUCUGUUUUGGAUAUAAUUUUUCUCAAACGUUUCGAGUUAAAAAUAAUUAAGCGUGUUUUAAAGGAUGUUUCAGGGGAUGUUUUUUCUUCCUUAGAACAGAUAAUGUGGUUGUUACAACGUUUGAUCCAUGUUUUAUUUAUAUUACUACACGUAUGAUUUUACUAAGUAACUUUUACCAUACGAAUAUAAAAAGAAGAAAUAUUCCGGAGCGAUUGACUAAACGCAGAACAAGCAUAGACCGUGCGUACAGUGGUAGUCAUAUAUAUACAUAUACAUAUCGGGCUUAUAUAUAUAUGUAUUAGCAAUUGUGAUGAAAUCCACUAUAUGUAUUACCCAACACAAUUUAGACAAGUGUUUUGAUUCGAGUGGCAGCGAUGCUCUGUCGUAUGUCCCUUGUUGAGUCUCAGUUAGGCAUAAAUCUUUUACAUCUUAUUUAGGAAUACUAAUUUCUAUCCUGCGUUUCCGUGUCCGAAAAGAAUAAUCCAACCCGAGGGCCCGCACGAAAGUCGGUCACGAGGCUUGUCAAGUUACCGGUCUUUCAGCGUGCCCGAAGGUCGGAUUUUUUUAUCCGACAAGAUUAAACAUGAUAUGUAUUUCAUACCUACAUAUAUAGUUUUUUGGUAAAACUGGCGUAGAUGAUAUAUGUUUUUAAAUUUUGCAAAAAACUGAAAUCAUGACGCGUUGUAGUUUUUGAUCACUGUUGGCGCCAUAUGGUACCUAAAAAAAGUGCGUUUGUGACGACUAUUUAUUUCCUUUUUAGUUAUAUAUCUUGCUUAAUUAUAUAUUCAUAGCGCUUUUUUGAAGGCAUACUGUACGUUUUUAACCAUACAAUAAAAUAAGUAAGAAGUGACGAGUUGUAUUGCAUGACGUUUUUGACAUGGGGUGUCAGAUCUGCUUUGCAGGAUGGCUAACUUCACCGGAAAUGCCUAUCCGGUGUGCAAGAUUAUUUGUUUGUCAGCUGAAGUUUCCCAUGUUAUUACCAUUAUACUAUGCUUAACACAGUACGAUAUGUAAAUGAUUAAUCUUCAUUCCAUGAUUGAUAAUAUUUGACAGUAAUUGUGUUUUUCUUGAUGUGUUUUUACUAAUCGUUCCUCUUUAAAAAGGGAUUAUAUAAUUCGUGUGAAUUUAUAAUCUUAUCAUUGACCAUGCGCUAUGUGUGCGUUUAUUGUAUAUUUUCAAUCCAAUAUUUAUUGAUGUUCACAAACAGGAAUAACAAUACGUUGAUAUUAACCCAUGUAGAAGAUAUGAAUACACGUUAUAAUAUCGGGCUUAUUCACAAUGUCAUGGAAAAAAGGAAAAAAAAAAUAAUAAAAAUGAUACAAUGGAAACUACAGGCGUACGUCACGCAGUCAAUUCCUCAACUAUGGCAGUGUUCAAAGACACAAUACUUCAACUAUCUUUAACAACAAGAUCACAAGACAAAAAAAGAGUGGUUUACAUUUAUAUCGAGGUAUCACUACAUGAUGGGUUAACAUCACUUUGAUGGUCCUGUGAGAACAGGUGUUUUUGCUUUUGGUUCAAGCCAAAUCAUGAAUCCUUGACCACAAAGAUCUCAAACGUAAUUUGUUAGUUUGCUUUAUUAAUGGUAAAUUUCCGGGUUAAAUGCACGACUGACUCAAACAAAAUGUUUUUUCAACGUAUUUGGUAUUAUAAACUCUUUUGCACAGCGCUUGGAAAUAAUAUGAUAAAAUGAGGAUAGAUGUUGUCUAUAUUGUGAUGUUGUCAGCGCAUCAAAUGACUCUAAUCCCAACCAGCUCACCUUUCACGGGCAGUUCCAACAUAUAUCAAUGAAGCUUUUAUAGUGCAUGUAUGGUCGAACCGUAAUGUGUGAACGAUUUGUAUCUCGUUUUGAGUAUUUCGGCUUCUAACCAUUUGCAUCUUAAAACAUUGGUUGUUUAAUUCUUUGACUUCUUGGCUUGACCCUGUAGUUUCCAUUGUAACAUUACAACUGACCAAAAUGUAUUUCGUGUUUAGUGUCGUAUAUACACUUAGAGAGAUUUUAGUUGAAAACGUUUUAUGUAUUAUGUGUCAUUCGAAAUGUCUUGCAUGUAUAAUCGUGUAUAUCAUUUUUAACUAUAAUUGCAUACGUCAGUUCUCCAGAUACUAAUCACUUAUACAAUCAUCAAGUUGGACUUUUAACGUAUUAUAUCAUCUAAGUCUAAUCAUGAUUGUACUAUAUCGAAUGGUUUAGAUAAGGAGAGAUACUAGUAAAGAAUACAAGAUAAAUAAAUGUAGCAUAUACGUGAACAACAUUGUAAUACAAAACGCAGUGCUAUGCAGUUUAAUACGACAGAAAGCAAAUGGAUUGAGGAUUAACUUUCUGUUCAUGUAUCUUAUCUUACAUUGUAUUUUAUUUUAUUUUGGAAGCGCUGCAGGUAUCCAUUAAAACUGUAUCAUAUCAUAAUUAGGGUUUCAACGUUUCAGUCGUUUCAUAAUAUAAUCACAAAAUGUAUUCAUUGUCAUACUUUGUUUCCAAAAUAAAUAUGAAUUAUGAAAAUGCUUUUUAAUUGGCAUUAUACUGUAUACUAGAUGUACAUAAUAAUCGGAAAAUAAAGAGAGACAUUUUAUA